rnacentral:rRNA from 1 species
GUGGGGAAUAUUGCACAAUGGGCGAAAGCCUGAUGCAGCAACGCCGCGUGAAGGAAGAAGGCCUUCGGGUCGUAAACUUCUGUCCAAAAGGAAGAAAAAAAUGACGGUACUUUUGGAGGAAGCCCCGGCUAACUACGUGCCAGCAGCCGCGGUAAUACGUAGGGGGCAAGCGUUAUCCGGAAUUAUUGGGCGUAAAGAGUGCGUAGGUGGUUACCUAAGCGCAGGGUUUAAGGCAAUGGCUCAACCAUUGUUCGCCUUGCGAACUGGGCUACUUGAGUGCAGGAGAGGAAAGCGGAAUUCCUAGUGUAGCGGUGAAAUGCGUAGAUAUUAGGAGGAACACCGGUGGCGAAGGCGGCUUUCUGGACUGUAACUGACACUGAGGCACGAAAGCGUGGGGAGCAAACAGGAUUAGAAACCCUAGUAGUCC